ACGAACGCUGGCGGCGUGCUUCACACAUGCAAGUCGAACGGAAAGGCCCUGCUUUUGUGGGGUGCUCGAGUGGCGAACGGGUGAGUAACACGUGAGUAACCUGCCCUUGACUUUGGGAUAACUUCAGGAAACUGGGGCUAAUACCGGAUAGGAGCUCCUGCUGCAUGGUGGGGGUUGGAAAGUUUCGGCGGUUGGGGAUGGACUCGCGGCUUAUCAGCUUGUUGGUGGGGUAGUGGCUUACCAAGGCUUUGACGGGUAGCCGGCCUGAGAGGGUGACCGGCCACAUUGGGACUUAGGUACGGCCCAGGCUCCUACGGGAGGCAGCAGUGGGGAAUAUUGCACAAUGGGCGGAAGCCUGAUGCAACAACGCCGGGUGCGGGAUGACGGCCUUCGGGUUGUAAACCGCUUUCGCCUGUGACGGAGCGUGAGUGACGGUAAUGGGUAAAGAAGCACCGGCUAACUACGUG
rnacentral:rRNA from 1 species